GGGGAAUAUUGGACAAUGGGGGGCAACCCUGAUCCAGCCAUGCCGCGUGUGUGAAGAAGGCCUUCGGGUUGUAAAGCACUUUCAGUAGGGAGGAAGGCCUGUAGAUUAAUACUCUGCAGGAUUGACGUUACCUACAGAAGAAGCACCGGCUAACUCCGUGCCAGCAGCCGCGGUAAUACGGAGGGUGCAAGCGUUAAUCGGAAUUACUGGGCGUAAAGCGCGCGUAGGCGGUUAGUUAAGCUGGAUGUGAAAGCCCCGGGCUCAACCUGGGAACUGCAUUCAGAACUGGCUGGCUAGAGUACGAGAGAGGGUAGUGGAAUUUCCUGUGUAGCGGUGAAAUGCGUAGAUAUAGGAAGGAACAUCAGUGGCGAAGGCGACUGCCUGGCUCGAUACUGACGCUGAGGUGCGAAAGCGUGGGGAGCAA
rnacentral:rRNA from 1 species